rnacentral:lncRNA from 10 species
GAAGAAUGCUGCGUGUAUAAAGACAAGCUACCACCUGAAAUUCUCAGGUCAACAUUUAAAUUUAAAGGUCUUUUUUAUUGUUGGCUGUUGUGCUAAAUCUUAACCAUAUAGCAAAUCUGAAGUAGCAAUCCAAUCUAUAUUAAAAAACUAAAUAACACUUGAUAUGAUUUGGCUGUGUUGCCACCCAAAUCUUAUCUUGAAUUCUCAUGUAUUGUAGGAGGGACCCAGUGGGAGGUAAUUAAAUCAUGGGGGCAGGUUUUUCCCAUGCUGUUCUCAUGACGAAGUCUCACAAGAUCUGUGGGUUUUAAAAAUGGGACUUUCCCCUCACAAGCUCUCUCUCUGUUUGCCUGCUGCCAUCCAUGUAAGACGUGACUUGCUCUGCCUUGCCUUCCAUCAUGAUUGUGAGGACUCUCCAGCCACAUGCAACUGAUUCCAUGCUGCUGCUCCGCCAUGCUUCACACCAAUCAAUAAGAAGUGUUUCCAGCUGUAUCUACGAAAUGUCUCUCCAGAAUCACUGACAAUUCGGUUCACAUCAUAUGGCAAUUAGAUAAUUUUCUGAUGACUUUUAACUUACCUCCUCUCUUUUGACUUCUCCCUACACCAUAUCAGUGUCCAAAGUGUUGCCAAAACCACUUCGAAAAUGCACAUCUGUUUCUGUCUCUCCCUUAUAUUAUGCCUUCAAAUCAUGACUUCUUAAAAUGAUAUAAGGAAUUUUUACAGUUGGGUAAAAAAUUAAGUUGGAGCCUCCUUUAUAAUUGUUCCUGUACAUUUGCCAUCCCUCCAGACUUAAAGAAUAAAUUGAAGAACUUUGUACAGAAUAUUGACUUUCCUGUUGAUGUGCCAUCAUUUAGUACAGGAGAAACAACUCAGUGUAUACCUAUCUGCAAACUUUUCUAAUGAUAAUUUGUGCCUAUAGUCCUAUACUGAUGUGAAGUGUGAAAAAAUAUAUACCAGGAGAAACAAAGGAGAAUGGCACCAUAUAAUUGGUAGAUUUUCAUCCCAUAGUUUAUUUUCGUAUUUGCCUGCAAGGUCUUUUUUCAUACACUAAAUCAAGCCCUGCCUGUUUUGAAAUCAUCAUCGACACCCCUUCAAAGCACAGUUAAGUACACCUUCUCUGGUUUCACAUGACAAUCUGAUUGCACUGGAUUACAGUCAAAACUUUUGUGUCUGUCUGUGCAAUUUCUGAUGUCCUUAAGGGCAGGGACAAUGUUUUUCCCAAUUUUGUAUUGCCAGUGCCUAGCACAAUCCCUGACUUUUUGUAGAUAGAACUUUUUUCCACCAAUUGUAUAAUUUAAUGAAUCACACAUAUAGACUCUAAUGAUUACAUGAAUAUUAUUAAUUGAUACUCAAUGUUUGUGGUCUAAUAUUAUUUUUCUUGAAAUAAAUUAAGAUAUAUUUAAUAUAAUAAAAUUAAAACUACAAAAUAAAACAAACAUUUAUAACUUGAAUUUAACAUGUCAUAAAUUUUUGCAGUAGCAGUAAUACAUAUUGAAAAAACACAUACCUUGGUAUAACAAAAUAUAAAAAUGAAAAACAAAACCAACCAAAAAACUGCUUAGUACAUUCAUAUACAAUAUUAAAUUGUACUCUAUGAAUACAUACUAAUGUUUAUGAAUUUAGUAAGUUUGCAAUACAUAGAAUUAUUUAUGUCAUUUUAUGCAGAAAAAAGGUAUUGUAUUGGCAUUGUUACACAUUAUAGGUGACAGGUAAUGAAGUAAAUUAUGUUCUAAAAUUAUAUUUUUGCAGAAGUUAUCAACAUCAUUAGGUUUUAUUAACUUAUUCUUGAAGUCUAUAAAAAUUGGCAAGUGGAUCACGAGGUCAGGAGUUCAAGACCAGCCUGGGCAAGAUGGUGAAACCCUGUCUCUACUAAAAAUACAAAAAAAAAUUAGCUGAGCAUGGUGGUGGGCACCUGUAAUCCCAGCUACUUGGGAGGCUGAGGCAGAGAAUUGCUUGAACCUGGGAGGCAGAGGUUGCAAUAAGCCGAGAUCAUGCUGCUGCACUCCAGCCUGGGUGACAGAGAGAGACUCCAUCCCCUACCCCCCCCACCCCCCCAAAAAUAGAGGUCUUUUAAUUUUUCAUCUGUGGGUUACUGUCCAAAACAAUGAACCAAAAGAAUUAUCCCUAAGUAAAUUACCCAUAAUUUCUCCACCUUUAAGUUGUAUUUUUUUCUGAAGAUAAUGGAAAUUAGAAGCUAAAGCGUGCAAACUAUUAAUGUUAGCAUAUGACAGUUGAAGGUGAACACAGAAGGCCUGUUAAGGUGUGCUCACUUCUUAAGGUUAAGACAUAAAGAGAAAACUUCUUACUACAUUAGAAUAUAGGAAGACACCUCUAUUCUGUGUCUUAUGUGAAGAAUAGAGUUAAGAAAGAUGCUGCUAUAAUAAAACAUAACAUUUUUACUUAAUAUUUAUAAACAACCACAUAGAAAAUAUAAUUCUCCAGGAAACAUAAAGUUUAUUUGAUAAACUCUUCAAUUAAAAAAGUGGUUGGGUCAUUUUAAUGGAUGGUCCCAUUGAACCAUGAUAUCUGAAUCGUCCAUCAUUAUUAUAGGUAUAUGAGUAUUAAUGGACCAGAUAACCCCAGUGUGGUAUUCAGGACAUCUUUAUCGUAAGUAUUGUUGAAAAUACUUCAACCUUUUUUAAAAAAAAAUCUAUUCAAAGUAUCUUCUGUUUCUCUAUGAAGAAUAUCCUUUAAUUUUUUUUCUGUGAAAAUAGCCUUUAUUUCAGAAAGGCACAAUGCAAAUUAAUGAAGCCCUAGGCUCACACAUAUCAAGAGUGUUUUAUUUUGUUGAAGUUACUCCUUGGCUUUCAUUGCUAGUAAUAAAAUUCCUUGGUAAGAGAGUCACACCUGUUUGUGAUAAGCAGUCUUGGAAUAUAACGAUGAGUGCUGGAGAAAUGUGAGCAAUGCGACAACAGUGUCUGUUAAAAUGUGCUUUUUCAUAGUUUAUUUUUAUCCAUUGUGUUGGGCAUUCAUUUGACUCUCUAAAACUCAUGUCCUUUAGUACUUUUAGAAUUCUCUUGAUUUUUAAAAUAAGGUAAUUUCUCCACUAUCUUUCAAAGCUUUACCUUUCAAGGAGCAAGAGUUUUAAUUUGGGAAAUUCUAUUUAUCAUUUUUCUUUCAUAGUAUAUAUACUUUAUGUUGUUUCAAAUAUUUUUGCCCAACCUAAUGUCAUGAAGAUUUUCUACAAUAUUUUAUUCUACAAGUUUUGCCGCUUUAUCUGUUAAGUUUUAAUCUAUAAUCUAUUUUGAGUUAAUUUUUAUACUUAAAUAUCAAAUUAUUUUUGGACUCCCUAUUUCAUUCCGUUAAUCUACAUCUUUUUUUUUUUUUUUUUUUUUUUUUUUUUGAGUCGGAGUCUCACUCUGUCGCCCAGGCUGGAGUGCAGUGGCGUGAUCUCGGUUUACUGCAAACUCCGCCUCCCAGGUUCCCGCCAUUCUCCUGCCUCAGCCUCCGGAGUAGCUGGGACUACAGACACCUGCCACGGCGCCGGCUAAUUUUGUGUGUGUGUGUGUGUGUGUGUGUAUUUUUCGUAGAGACGGGGUUUCACCGUGGUCUCCAUCUCCUGACAUCGUGAUCCGCCCGCCUCAGCCUCCCAAAGUGCUGGGAUUACAGGCGUAAGCCACGCGCCCGGCCCCGUUAAUCUACGUAUCUAUCUAUAUGCCAAAAAACGUACAGAGCUGAUUACUGUUGCUUUUCAGGAACUUUUAAAAUCAGAUACUGUAAGUCCUCUAACUUUGUACCUUUUGAAAAACAUUUAGCUAUUGUUGUCUUUGCCUUUCCACCUAAAUUUUUAAAUCAUGUGGUCAAUUUCUUCAAAAAAAGGCUUGUUACCAUUUUUAUUAGGAUUUCAUUGGAUCUAUAGACCAAUUUAUUAAGAAUUGUCAGACUAACAAUAAAAUUUUAAAAUUAGGUGUUGUAAAUCCUCCAACUUUGUACUUUUUCAAAAGUGUUUAGCUAUUAUUGUCUUUGCCAUCCAUACAGAUUUUUAAUUGAUAUUGGCAAUUUCUUCAGAAAAUGCUUGUGACAGCUUUAAUUGUGAUUUCUUUGUACUGACAGGACAAAUUUUGAGAAUUGUCAGACUAAUAAUGUUGACUCUUCAAAUGUAUGAACAAGGUACAUUCACUAGCUAAUUAAGUCUUCCUUUAUUUCCUUUGCAAUGAUUUGUAUCUUUCAGUGUACACAAAAAACAAAAUAUCCAAAUGCUUAGUUUUGUUGUUAAGGUAUGCUCUUUGACAAAAAGAGUAUUAUAUGAAAAACACUAAUCUAACAUUGUCAUCUCUGAUAAAACAUUUCUUAUGAAUAACAAUGUAUGAUUUCAAUUGUGAUAAAAAUAAUGGGUUCCAUAGGAAUCAUAGCAUAUUGUGUUCAAGUUAUAUAAAAUUACACCAUAGAAUUUAUAUUUUCAGAAGAGUUUUGAAUGACCAUUGUGGUGAUACAUGCUUUUUUUUUUCUUCUCCUAUGCCAUGUUUUGUAGUCAUUUUAUUCAAAAUAUAUACAUUUUCAUUUUUGAAGAGUGUUUACCUGGACUUCAUUAAAUAACCAGUGUAUAUUUCAUUUUAGGUAAGAUUUGUUUCAGUUGUAAUUAAGAUCCUUAGCCUCUAAUUCUAGUUGAAUUUUUCCCAUCAAUUCUUCUCAUUUAUUCACUACAAAGAAAUUGCUAUAGUACUUAAAGUAUCUAAUUAUACAGUUUUGCUCCCUUAUAAAUAAAUGAGAACAUAAUGAAUACAUUAGUAAUCAGUGGGUGGAUUCACAACAAUGUAAGAGGUAUAAAAUAUUUGUACAGCUUGACAGGUAGAAACAUUUCUCUACUAAUGGUUUAUGUAAAUUCAUUACUUAUAUACUUUUGAUGGGAUUCUAUAGUAUUCUCUUAUUUUAUGAUUUCUUAUUGUUAGUAUGUAGAAAUUCAAUUGUCUUUUCUGCAUUGACCUUGCAUCUUGCAAUCCUAAACAUUAUCUUCUUUGUUAGCUAGUAGCUUUUUUAUAUAUUUCAUAGAGUUUAUUGCAUAUGCAAUCAUGUCAUCUGUUAAUAAAGAUUUUUACUUCUUACUUUUUAAACAGUAUGAUUUUUUUCCCUACUACACUGGCUAAAACAUCCAGUAUAAUUUUAAAAAACAAGAGAUAAGAAUAAAUAUCCCUUUUUUCCUUUUUAUUAGUAAAAAGCAUUGGGCCUUGCCCUUGGAUAUUAUAUUAGCUAUAAGUUUUUUAAUAGAUACCCCAAAUCAAAUGGAGAAAAUCUAUUCUCACUUUUCUGAGAGUGGUUUCCUAUGAAUGAGUGCUGAAUUUUGUCAAAUAUUUUUUUCCACCUAUUAAAGUGAACACAUUAUUUAUCUCUUUUGUAAUUUUAAUGUGGUAAUUAAAAUUACUGAUUUUCUGACAAACCUUACAUUCUCAGGAUAAAUUCUACUGGGUCCAUGCUUUUUGAUUUGAUUUCCUAAUUUUUUAAAAAUAAUUGUGUGUCUACAUUCAUGAAGGUUAUCAAUCUGUCAUUCUUUCUUUAAAUAUCUUGUCUGAUUUUGGUAUUCAGGCAUUACCGAACUCAUAAAAUGAAUUAUGAAGUGUCCUUUAUUUUCUGAAAAAUUUUGUGCGUAAUUGUAAUUUUGGUUUGCCUCAAUGUUUGAUAGUGUUCAGAUGUGAAGACAAGCUAUGCACUUCCAAUUGAAUAAAUUUUGGUAUUGUCUAUCUUUCCAGAAUUUUUUUAUUCCAUCUAAGUUGCCAAACAUAUUAGAAUAAAGUUGCUUAUAAUAUUAUUUUAUUACUCUUUAAUGAACAUUGGAACUUAUAAAAAG